rnacentral:rRNA from 1 species
AAAACUCUAAGCGGUGGAUCACUCGGCUCAUGGGUCGAUGAAGAACGCAGCAAACUGUGCGUCAUCGUGUGAACUGCAGGACACAUGAACAUCGACAUUUUGAACGCAUAUCGCAGUCCAUGCUGUUAUGUACUUUAAUUAAUUUUAUAGUGCUGCUUGGACUACAUAUGGUUGAGGGUUGUAAGACUAUGCUAAUUAAGUUGCUUAUAAAUUUUUAUAAGCAUAUGGUAUAUUAUUGGAUAAAUAUAAUAAUUUUUAUUCAUAAUAUUAAAAAAUAAAUGAAAAACAUUAUCUCACAUUUGAAUGUGAAAAACGAAGAGAAAUAUUUUCUUUUUCAAUCAAAUAAUACUGAGAAAUGUCUAGCAUAAAAAAUUGAAAUAUUUUUCAUCUAGAAUUGUCUCUUAUUAAUGAUUCGGAAAUAGAAAAAUCUUGGUUAUGUUAUUAUUCUUCGUUGGUUCGUUUAAAAUGGAUAAAUAAAAACUUUGCAUACAAGAAUUAAUAAAAAUGUUAUAACGAAUUUAAUUAAAUGUUUUAUCAUUAUAUAUAAAGAAUUUAUGGCAAGAUAAAGUUAUAUACAACCUCAACUCAUAUGGGACUACCCCCUGAAUUUAAGCAUAUUAAUUAGGGGAGGAAAAGAAACUAACAAGGAUUUUCUUAGUAGCGGCGAGCGAAAAGAAAACAGUUCAGCACUAAGUCACUUUGUCUAUAUGGCAAAUGUGAGAUGCAGUGUAUGGAGCGUCAAUAUUCUAGUAUGAGAAAUUAACGAUUUAAGUCCUUCUUAAAUGAGGCCAUUUACCCAUAGAGGGUGCCAGGCCCGUAUAACGUUAAUGAUUACUAGAUGAUGUUUCCAAAGAGUCGUGUUGCUUGAUAGUGCAGCACUAAGUGGGUGGUAAACUCCAUCUAAAACUAAAUAUAACCAUGAGACCGAUAGUAAACAAGUACCGUGAGGGAAAGUUGAAAAGAACUCUGAAUAGAGAGUUAAACAGUACGUGAAACUGCUUAGAGGUUAAGCCCGAUGAACCUGAAUAUCCGUUAUGGAAAAUUCAUCAUUAAAAUUGUAAUAUUUAAAUAAUAUUAUGAGAAUAGUGUGCAUUUUUUCCAUAUAAGGACAUUGUAAUCUAUUAGCAUAUACCAAAUUUAUCAUAAAAUAUAACUUAUAGUUUAUUCCAAUUAAAUUGCUUGCAUUUUAACACAGAAUAAAUGUUAUUAAUUUGAUAAAGUGCUGAUAGAUUUAUAUGAUUACAGUGCGUUAAUUUUUCGGAAUUAUAUAAUGGCAUAAUUAUCAUUGAUUUUUGUGUUUAUUAUAUGCACUUGUAUGAUUAACAAUGCGAAAGAUUCAGGAUACCUUCGGGACCCGUCUUGAAACACGGACCAAGGAGUCUAACAUAUGUGCAAGUUAUUGGGAUAUAAACCUAAUAGCGUAAUUAACUUGACUAAUAAUGGGAUUAGUUUUUUAGCUAUUUAUAGCUAAUUAACACAAUCCCGGGGCGUUCUAUAUAGUUAUGUAUAAUGUAUAUUUAUAUUAUUUAUGCCUCUAACUGGAACGUACCUUGAGCAUAUAUGCUGUGACCCGAAAGAUGGUGAACUAUACUUGAUCAGGUUGAAGUCAGGGGAAACCCUGAUGGAAGACCGAAACAGUUCUGACGUGCAAAUCGAUUGUCAGAAUUGAGUAUAGGGGCGAAAGACCAAUCGAACCAUCUAGUAGCUGGUUCCUUCCGAAGUUUCCCUCAGGAUAGCUGGUGCAUUUUAAUAUUAUAUAAAAUAAUCUUAUCUGGUAAAGCGAAUGAUUAGAGGCCUUAGGGUCGAAACGAUCUUAACCUAUUCUCAAACUUUAAAUGGGUAAGAACCUUAACUUUCUUGAUAUGAAGUUCAAGGUUAUGAUAUAAUGUGCCCAGUGGGCCACUUUUGGUAAGCAGAACUGGCGCUGUGGGAUGAACCAAACGUAAUGUUACGGUGCCCAAAUUAACAACUCAUGCAGAUACCAUGAAAGGCGUUGGUUGCUUAAAACAGCAGGACGGUGAUCAUGGAAGUCGAAAUCCGCUAAGGAGUGUGUAACAACUCACCUGCCGAAGCAACUAGCCCUUAAAAUGGAUGGCGCUUAAGUUGUAUACCUAUACAUUACCGCUAAAGUAGAUGAUUUAUAUUACUUGUGAUAUAAAUUUUGAAACUUUAGUGAGUAGGAAGGUACAAUGGUAUGCGUAGAAGUGUUUGGCGUAAGCCUGCAUGGAGCUGCCAUUGGUACAGAUCUUGGUGGUAGUAGCAAAUAAUCGAAUGAGACCUUGGAGGACUGAAGUGGAGAAGGGUUUCGUGUGAACAGUGGUUGAUCACGAGUUAGUCGGUCCUAAGUUCAAGGCGAAAGCCGAAAAUUUUCAAGUAAAACAAAAAUGCCUAACUAUAUAAACAAAGCGAAUUAUAAUACACUUGAAUAAUUUUGAACGAAAGGGAAUACGGUUCCAAUUCCGUAACCUGUUGAGUAUCCGUUUGUUAUUAAAUAUGGGCCUCGUGCUCAUCCUGGCAACAGGAACGACCAUAAAGAAGCCGUCGAGAGAUAUCGGAAGAGUUUUCUUUUCUGUUUUAUAGCCGUACUACCAUGGAAGUCUUUCGCAGAGAGAUAUGGUAGAUGGGCUAGAAGAGCAUGACAUAUACUGUUGUGUCGAUAUUUUCUCCUCGGACCUUGAAAAUUUAUGGUGGGGACACGCAAACUUCUCAACAGGCCGUACCAAUAUCCGCAGCUGGUCUCCAAGGUGAAGAGUCUCUAGUCGAUAGAAUAAUGUAGGUAAGGGAAGUCGGCAAAUUAGAUCCGUAACUUCGGGAUAAGGAUUGGCUCUGAAGAUUGAGAUAGUCGGGCUUGAUUGGGAAACAAUAACAUGGUUUAUGUGCUCGUUCUGGGUAAAUAGAGUUUCUAGCAUUUAUGUUAGUUACUUGUUCCCCGGAUAGUUUAGUUACGUAGCCAAUUGUGGAACUUUCUUGCUAAAAUUUUUAAGAAUACUAUUUGGGUUAAACCAAUUAGUUCUUAUUAAUUAUAACGAUUAUCAAUUAACAAUCAAUUCAGAACUGGCACGGACUUGGGGAAUCCGACUGUCUAAUUAAAACAAAGCAUUGUGAUGGCCCUAGCCAGUAGUGGUUACUCCCGCCGUUGACCCGCGCUUACUUGAAUUUCUUCACUUUGACAUUCAGAGCACUGGGCAGAAAUCACAUUGUGUCAACACCCGCUAGGGCCAUCACAAUGCUUUGUUUUAAUUAGACAGUCGGAUUCCCCAAGUCCGUGCCAGUUCUGAAUUGAUUGUUAAUUGAUAAUCGUUAUAAUUAAUAAGAACUAAUUGGUUUAACCCAAAUAGUAUUCUUAAAAAUUUUAGCAAGAAAGUUCCACAAUUGGCUACGUAACUAAACUAUCCGGGGAACAAGUAACUAACAUAAAUGCUAGAAACUCUAUUUACCCAGAACGAGCACAUAAACCAUGUUAUUGUUUCCCAAUCAAGCCCGACUAUCUCAAUCUUCAGAGCCAAUCCUUAUCCCGAAGUUACGGAUCUAAUUUGCCGACUUCCCUUACCUACAUUAUUCUAUCGACUAGAGACUCUUCACCUUGGAGACCAGCUGCGGAUAUUGGUACGGCCUGUUGAGAAGUUUGCGUGUCCCCACCAUAAAUUUUCAAGGUCCGAGGAGAAAAUAUCGACACAACAGUAUAUGUCAUGCUCUUCUAGCCCAUCUACCAUAUCUCUCUGCGAAAGACUUCCAUGGAAAACUCUUCCGAUAUCUCUCGACGGCUUCUUUAUGGUCGUUCCUGUUGCCAGGAUGAGCACGAGGCCCAUAUUUAAUAACAAACGGAUACUCAACAGGUUACGGAAUUGGAACCGUAUUCCCUUUCGUUCAAAAUUAUUCAAGUGUAUUAUAA